UCCUGGUUAACCCAGGCAGUCUCAUUAGAGUUCCCACCUUAAAUGUUGGCAACUAAUGAUAAGGGUUGCGCUCGUUGCGGGACUUAACCCAACACCUCACGGCACGAGCUGACGACAGCCAUGCAGCACCUGUGCAGCAGUCCCGAAGGAAGAGUUCAUCUCUGAACCUGUCUACUGCAUGUCAAGCCUGGGUAAGGUUCUUCGCGUUGCAUCGAAUUAAACCACAUGCUCCACUGCUUGUGCGGGUCCCCGUCAAUUCUUUUGAGUUUCAGCCUUGCGACUGUACUCCCCAGGCGGUAUACUUAACGCGUGAGCUUCGGCACAACUAGGGUUGAUUCCAGUUACACCAAGUAUACAUCGUUUACGGCAAGGACUAC
rnacentral:misc_RNA from 1 species